GAACUAUGCCUGAGUAGGAUGAAGCCGGAGGAAACUCUGGUGGAGGUCCGAAGCGUUUUUGACGUGCAAAUCAAUCGUCAGACUUGGGUAUAGGGGCGAAAGACUAAUCGAACCAUCUAGUAGCUGGUUCCCUUCGAAGUUUCCCCCAGGAAAGCUGGUGCCAUGUUUGACAGUUUUAUCUGGUAAAGCGAAUGAUUAGAGGCAUUGGGGACGAAUUGUCCUCGACCUAUUCUCAAACUUUAAAUGGGUAAUGUACCGUUGUACUUCUUGAUAUUCAUGAGUGCUCGGUCAAAUGCAAUGGCGCCAAGUGGGCCAUUUUUGGUAAGCAGAACUGGCGAUGUGGGAUGAACCAAACGUUGAGCUAGGAUGCCCAAAGUGCUUCUCAUGAGAUACCAUGAAAGGUGUCAGUCGAUAUUGACAGCAGGACGGUGGCCGCAGAAGUAGGAAUCCGCUAAGGAGUGUGUAACAACUCACCUGCCGAAUCGACUGGUCCUGAAAAUGGAUGGCGCUGGAGACGUAUAUCCAUGCUCGACCGUCAAUGCCAACGAAAGCGAUUGCUAUAUGGCUUGACGUGUAGAAGGGCGAUUGCCGUGGCGUCGAAACUUGCACCGUGAGGUGGGGUAGAGCUGCGGCAUGUGCAGAUCUUGGUGGUAGUAGCAAGUAUUCAAAUGAGAGCAUUGAAGACUGAAGUGGAGUAAGGUUCCAUGUGAACAGCAUUUGGACAUGGAUCAGCCGAUCCUAAGAGAACGUGUAAGUUCGUGAUUAAGCGCGUCGCCUUGUGCGUCGCAAUCGAAAGGGAAUCGGGUUAAUAUUCCCGAGCCAGGAUACGGAAUGUGCCUGAUUAAUCGGAAGUACCUUGUGUGCUUUCGACUUCAGGCAAAAGCGGCAACGCCAACAAACCCAGAGAUUAACUAUGCGGAGUCCGGGGAAGAGUUUUCUCUUCUUUGUAAGGGAUGUUAUCCCUGGAAACAGAUUGUCUGGCGAUAGGGUACGCAUCCCGUAAUGCAACGCGAUUCCUGCGAUGUACCGUGCGCUUCGUAUAGUGCUUGAAAAUCUGGGGGCGAGUUUGUUCAGGCCGUACCUGUUCGUACUGAUUUCCGCAGCAGGUCUCCAAGGUGAGCAGCCUCUAGUCGAUGGGACAAAGUAGACAAGGGAAGUCGGCAAAUUAGAUCCGUAACUUCGGAAAAAGGAUUGGCUCUAAAGGCUGAGUUGGUCGGGCGGUUGCGUUAAGCUGGGAGCGACGCUUUGACUCUGUCUCAGACUCCGUUCUCGCAAGGGAUGCGGAAUCGAGGACGGAACUUUGUCUACGCUCUCUGUGGACCGCGGUCGCUAUGCCACCCGUGCGGUAUCUAAACGUAAGUCUUGAGUCGUGCGACGUGGAUCCGAUCAGCGUUUAACAGCUGACCUAGAACUGGUAUGGACAAGGGGAAUCCAACUGUUUAAUUAAAACAAAGCAUUGCGAUAGCUGUAAUCGGUGUUGACGCGAUGUGAUUUCUGCCCAGUGCUCUGAAUGUUAAAGUGAAGGAACUCAUCCAAGCGCGAGUUAACGGCGGAAGUAACUAUGACUUUCUUAAGGUAGCCAAAUGCCUCGUCAUCUAAUUAGUGACGUGCAUGAAUGGAUUAUUGAGAUUCCUUCUGUCCCUGUCUGCAACCUAGCGAAACCACAGCCAAGGGAACGGGCUUGGAGAGUAACAGCGGGGAAAGAAGACCCUGUUGAGCUUGACUCUAGUCAGUCUUUGUGAAGAAACAUGAUGGGUGUAGAAUAGGUGGGAGGACGCGCCAGUGAAAUACCACUACUAUCAUCGUUUCUUUACUUACUCAAUUGAUCAGGGAGCGUGAAUUCGCUAUUUGCGAUGUAUGAUUAUUCCUUCAGUGGAAUAAGUGUCUGGUUUGAGAACACAGACUGAUUGGGAGUUUGACUGGGGCGGUACAUCUGUUAAAAUCUAACGCAGGUGUCCUAAGGCAAUCUCAGCGUGGACAGAAACCUCGCAUAGAGCGAAAGGGCAAAAGAUUGCUUGAUCUUGAUUUUCAGUACGAAUAAAGACAAUGAAAGUUUGGCUUGUCGAUCCUUUUGAAUUUUACGAGUUUUAAGCAAGAGGUGUCAGAAAAGUUACCACAGGGAUAACUGGCU
rnacentral:rRNA from 1 species